AAUUCAACUUGUUAUCGAAAUCUAAAGAACAAAAUGCAACACACAAAAACAUAAGCGUAUCCGAGCAAAGAUGAAAAAAUACCAACCAAAAAUUGUGCAACCACUGCGAGGGAUCCAAGUGGUGUUGCUCAGAGCUAGGGCCGGCCCUGUGAGGGUGCGAACAGUACUAUUGCACAGGGUCUCUGACUUUUUAGGACCUCGAAUUUGAUAGAUAUGAUCAAUAUA
rnacentral:lncRNA from 1 species